rnacentral:misc_RNA from 1 species
CAACCCUCAAGCACUGCUUGGUGAUGGGCGACACCUGUGGGUGCGCCUCAAAAUCAGUGGCGGCGCCAGUCUGGCUUCGAGCGUAGUAAAAUCUCCUCGCUAUGAAGCCCGGGUGGUACCCGCCAGCAACCCCAUACUUUCUAA